GUUACACUAGUUCCUCCAAGAUCGGUUCAUCAUAAUUUGGAGAGUAUUGAAAGUUUGGAUUAUAGGAGUUGUACAAAGGAGUUGUUCUUGAGGAUCCCAAAUCUAAGGACAUUGAGAGUUACUGGUAAUCAUAAAAUUGAAUGCAAAGCUCCCAAUUGGUUUGAAAGUCUUGUCUAUUCUAUGGGGAUGCUAAGCCUAGAGAAUUUUUGGCCAAAUCUUAAGAAGUUAAGAUUCUCUGAUUCAAAUUUAAAAUGGAAGGAUAUGAAUGUUAUUGGUAAGUUGUCUAAGCUUGAGGACCUCACAUUGGAUAAUUCUGUUAAGGGUCGAAAAUGGAAACCCAAAGAUGGAGGAUUUCGUCGAUUAAAGUUCUUGAUGAUAUAUUGGAGUCCUCUACAAUAUUGGAAAGUCACCAGUAAUCAUUUUCCAGUCCUUGAAAAUUUAGUCCUUGGUCACAUAGCUUUGAAAGAAAUUCCUAAUGGUUUUGCAGAAAUAACUACUCUCAAAUCAAUCGAUUUAAAUUUUUGUUGGGAGUCACUUGUAUCAUCUGCUGAGCGUAUUCAAAAAGAGCAGCAGCGGUAUGAAAAUCACAGAUUAGUUGUUGAAAGGCCCACUAGUUAUUUAAAGGUGAGAGUAGGGUGGGCACUGGGCAGCCGGGUGGCUUCUUGGAGUGCAUGCUUUGGAAGCUAGGGUUUGAGGAGGAUUGUUUGAUGUUGAUUACGGUGUUUUUAUCUUCAAUGGCAAGGGAAGUGAAGAAAAGGGAGAUUUUUGGAUGAUGUGCAGCACUAAGGAGCUCUUUUUGAGAUGAUUGAGAGCAUCAUGAGAUAAUCAAGAAGAAGCCAGGAUCGUGUUCAAGAGCCAAGUUAAGUGAUGUCUCUAUUUGAUGACAUCACAUGGGCAUCGACAUUCCCGUGUAGGGGGCCGUUCUUGGGUACAUACAUUGCACAGGUGUGAGAUAGCCUGUAUGUACACACGGGCACCCACACGCCCGUGCUAACGGUCCCAAUCUUGCGUAUUGAGCUGUUGUUUAUUUUGUUCAAAUCUAAAUUUGGAGGGGAGAGCAGAGAACUUUUUCCUAAUUUUUCAGAUAGCUUUCUAGCUUAGAUUAGAUUAUUUUUCUUCAAAAGAAUUUAUCUACUCAGCUUACAUACUUGGAUUAGAGUGGAUUCUUACACCUCAACUCUGAUUUCUCCAUUAAGAGAAGUUUUUCUCUAUCUCUUUUGUUUUAUUUGUGCUA